rnacentral:pre_miRNA from 1 species
AAUAGAAUUGCUGAGUCAUAUGGUAAUUCUAUGUUUAACUUUUUGAGGAACUGCCAAACUGUUUUUCACAGUGGCUGUACUAUUUUGCAUUCCCACCAGCAAU